AGAGAUGAUUCUGCUGUGCAAAAAUACAUUCAAGUUUUAUAACAGAGAGCUUGUUCAUGGUGGUCAAAACAUGUUAUCUAAAGUGAAAUGACGCUUCUGCUCUACAGAAGUUUUGGUCAAUACUCAACAGAAAGAGGACAAUACAGAGGAAAAUGAGAAUGUUUACCACCUGUACUGCACGAUCCCUGACAAACCAGUUCACUCAAACGCAGGAGAUCAAGUCUACAGUUUGGUGAAGAUGCACUGAUGAGUCUCAAGUCGUGUUUCAUUAUGUACAUUUAUUAUAAAUAAACUAUCUUUACUUGCUGACAAAA